rnacentral:tRNA from 1 species
GCUCGGGUGGCGGAACUGGUAGACGCGCAAGACUAAGGAUCUUGUGGGGCAACCUGUGGGGGUUCGAGUCCCCCCUCGAGCA